UACGUAGGGUGCAAGCGUUGUCCGGAAUUAUUGGGCGUAAAGAGCUCGUAGGCGGUCUGUCGCGUCUGAUGUGAAAGCCCGGGGCUUAACUCCGGGUCUGCAUUCGAUACGGGCAGGCUAGAGUUCGGUAGGGGAGAUCGGAAUUCCUGGUGUAGCGGUGAAAUGCGCAGAUAUCAGGAGGAACACCGGUGGCGAAGGCGGAUCUCUGGGCCGAUACUGACGCUGAGGAGCGAAAGCGUGGGGAGCGAACAGG
rnacentral:rRNA from 1 species